GACGAACGCUGGCGGCGUGCUUAACACAUGCAAGUCGAACGAAGUGGCGAACGGGUGAGUAAUGCGUAAUCAACCUGCCCUUCAGAGGGGGACAUAAGUUGGAAACGACUGCUCAUACUGCAUACUGCUGGAGGGGAUUGCGUCUGAUUAGCUUAUUGGAGGGGUAACGGCCCACCAAGGCGAUGAUCAGUAGCCUGUCUGAGCGGAUGAACGGCCAAAUUGGUACUUAGACACGGCCCAAACUCCUACGGGAGGCAGCAGGGGGGAAUCUUCCGCAAUGGGCGAAAGUCUGACGGAGCAACGCCGCGUGAGUGAUGACGGCCUUCGGGUUUUAAAGCUCUGUUAAUCGGGACGCGGUACCGGAAUAGAAAGCCACGGCUAACUACGUGCCAGCAGCCGCGGUAAUUC
rnacentral:rRNA from 1 species